CCUACGGGAGGCAGCAGUGAGGAAUAUUGGUCAAUGGACGAGAGUCUGAACCAGCCAAGUAGCGUGAAGGAUGACUGCCCUAUGGGUUGUAAACUUCUUUUAUAAAGGAAUAAAACGAGGCACGUGUGCCUUUUUGCAUGUACUUUAUGCAUAAGGAUCGGCUAACUCCGUGACAGCAGCCGCGGUAAUACGGAGGCGCCGAGCGUUAUCCGGAGUUAGUGGGUUUAAAGGGAGCGUAGAUGGGUAUUUAAGUCAGUGGUGAAAGUGUGCGGCUCAACCGUAAAAUUGCAAGUGAUACUGGCAGUCUUGAGUGCAGUUGAGGGAGGCGGAAUUCGUGGUGUAGCGGUGAAAUGCGUAGAUAUCACGAAGAACCCCGAUUGCGAAGGCAGCUUACUAAACUGUGACUGACAUUGAGGCACGAAAGUGUGGGGAGCAAACAGGAUUAGAUACCCCAGUAGUC
rnacentral:rRNA from 1 species